AUUGAACGCUGGCGGCAUGCCUAACACAUGCAAGUCGAACGAGUGGCGGACGGGUCAGUAAUGUCUGGGAAACUGCCCGAUGGAGGGGGAUAACUCCUGUAAACGGUUGCUAAUACCGCCUACCAUCGGAUUUGCCCAGAUGGGAUUAGCUAGUAGGUGUGGUAACGGCUCACCUAGGCGACGAUCCCUAGCUGGUCUGCGAGGAUGACAAGCAACACGGGAACUGAGACACGGUCCAGACGCCUAGGGGAGGCAGGAGUGGGGAAUAUUGCACAAUGGGCGAAAGCCUGAUGCAGCAAGGCCGCGGUGAUGAAGAAGGCCUGCGGGUGGGAAAGUACUUUCAGCGGGGAGGCGUUACCCGCAGAAGAAGCACCGGCUAACUCCGUGCCAGCCGCCGCGGUAAUUC
rnacentral:rRNA from 1 species